CCAGCUCGAUGCAUAUAAGUACUGGGGGACGUGCAAGGGACCCUCAAUCACAUCGAUUGUUUCAACAGCAACUCAAUCGGAAGCUUUGUCACCAUGUCCUGCCUUCGUACCAUCUUCCUUUUCGCUCUCAUCUUUGGUGCCGUGGCUCUUCUGGCUGAAGCUGCGCCAGAGCCUCUGCCGGAACCAGAAGGGGGAGCCUUCCGCAUACGCCGUCAAAUCUGCAAGAUCGAGAAAGAGUGCGACAAACAGUGCGGGGAAAAACAACCAAUUUGCUUUGGCACGACCUGCAAGUGCAUUUAAUAAAUAGCCCCAGGUGAAAGAAAGUGAUUUUAAACCAAAAAUGGCUGUGCAUUUGGGGUGUGUCAUCGCAUAACUACGAUCCUCUGUCCUCAGAUGACGUCACACAUGGCAUACCGGGACACGUUGAAAGGAAUAAUUAUCUGUAGCCAAGACUUGUACUUUCCUAAAUAUUUGUUAUUCUUUCAUUUAUGGUGACGCGGUGUAUCCAAUAAAAGGUGUGUUUAGC